AAGACGAUGACGUUGAUAGGUCGGGUGUGUAAGUGUAGCGAUACAUUGAGCUAACCGAUACUAAUGAACCGUGAGGCUUAACCUU
rnacentral:rRNA from 1 species